rnacentral:rRNA from 1 species
UACCAGCACCCCGAGUGGUCGGGACGAUUAUUGGCCUAAAGCAUCCGUAGCCGGGUUUUACAAGUCCUCCGUUAAAUCCAGCUGCUUAACAGAUGGGCUGCGGAGGAUACUAUAAGACUAGGAGGCAGGAGAGGCAAGCGGUACUCAGUGGGUAGGGGUAAAAUCCGUUGAUCCAUUGAAGACCACCAGUGGCGAAGGCGGCUUGCCCAGAAUGCGCUCGACGUGAGGGA